ACUAGAAAGCUAAGGUAGAAGGAGAGUAUUCUGAAGGAACCAAGUGAGUGCAACUGAUCAACUUGCUACCGAUCGAUCUCACAACAACAUGAGAGGACAAGCAACAGAGGUGCUAGAGAAAGGCAACAUCAGGCUGCAGGACCGUGAAAUCGCAGGAUUAGAAGAGCAAAUCCGGACGCUUAGGAUGAAGCUUCAGAACCACGAGAGCUACGAGGAGCAGAAGCGCAGGGAGUACUACAACCUGGAAAGCGAAUACAACAAGCUGCACAGCAGCUACAGAAACCUGCAAGCCUGCCACCACAACCUGCAAACCAGCUACCACAACCUGGAGGCCAGGCACAAUGCUCUCAGGUGGCAAAUGAGUAGGCCCGGAUGCUGCGGAUAAUUAAGAUAUGGAAGAGUUUUUAUUAUAUAUACUUAUAUAAUCUAUGUGCAUGUAUGUCAUCGCAUGCAUCCAUAUAUAUAUACUAUAUAUAUAAAUAAUUCAAAUAUCAGGUAUUUUAUCCAUGUAAAUAUACAGUUACAUGGAUAAAAUCCCUUUAUUUUAAGAUAGAGGGAGUACGUUACUUAUAUAUGCAUGCUUAUGAUACCUACUCCCCUGUUUUAUACCUACAGAUAUGAGUGAUGUAUGUGAGUAUAACUAUACAUAUUUGUAAUAAGCUGGAUAUGACCCCGGCCGCUAGCUAGCAGCAAAAAUGUGUGCCAUACGUCUAUGUCAUGCAUGGUAGCUCACCUUCAUCUCCAUGCAUGCAUCAAUAUUGAUGUAAGUGGUCAGCAUUGUUGUUGUAUGAAAUCAAAUGUUUUAUUUA